rnacentral:rRNA from 1 species
CGGUCGCAAGAUUAAAACUCAAAGGAAUUGACGGGGACCCGCACAAGCGGUGGAUGAUGUGGAUUAAUUCGAUGCAACGCGAAAAACCUUACCUACCCUUGACAUGUCCGGAAUCCCGAAGAGAUUUGGGAGUGCUCGAAAGAGAGCCGGAACACAGGUGCUGCAUGGCUGUCGUCAGCUCGUGUCGUGAGAUGUUGGGUUAAGUCCCGCAACGAGCGCAACCCUUAUCAUUAGUUGCCAUCAUUCAGUUGGGCACUCUAAUGAGACUGCCGGUGACAAACCGGAGGAAGGUGGGGAUGACGUCAAGUCCUCAUGGCCCUUAUGGGUAGGGCUUCACACGUCAUACAAUGGUCGGUACAGAGGGUUGCCAACCCGCGAGGGGGAGCUAAUCUCACAAAGCCGAUCGUAGUCCGGAUCGCAGUCUGCAACUCGACUGCGUGAAGUCGGAAUCGCUAGUAAUCGUGGAUCAGCAUGUCACGGUGAAUACGUUCCCGGGUCUUGUACACACCGCCCGUCACACCAUGGGAGUGGGUUUCACCAGAAGUAGGUAGUCUAACCGCAAGGAGGGCGCUUACCACGGUGGGGUUCAUGACUGGGGUG